GAUCCUGGCUCAGGAUGAACGCUGGCGGCGUGCUUAACACAUGCAAGUCGAACGAAGCGCUUAAAUGGAUUUCUUCGGAUUGAAGUUUUUGCGACUGAGUGGCGGACGGGUGAGUAACGCGUGGGUAACCUGCCUCAUACAGGGGGAUAACAGUUAGGAAUGACUGCUAAUACCGCAUAAGCGCACAGUGCUGCAUGGCACAGUGUGAAAAACUCUGGU
rnacentral:rRNA from 1 species